rnacentral:hammerhead_ribozyme from 1 species
CUCCAGCUGUCGAGUCCCGAAUAGGACGAAACGUGCGUUUUGAAU